rnacentral:misc_RNA from 1 species
GUGAAUCAUCGAAUUUUUGAACGCAUAUUGCACUCUCUGGUAUUCCGGAGAGCAUGCCUAUUUGAGGGUCAUUUGAAAUAUUAUAAAUUUCGAGGUGUUCUUGGUUCCAUAAAUGGGACGGUUCAGCUUUCGUGUGGUGGUGGCCUAAAAUGCAAGACAAGCUCUUUUCUUGGGUUCUGC